GACGAACGCUGGCGGCGUGCUUAACACAUGCAAGUCGAACGAAGUGGCGAACGGGUGAGUAACGCGUAAUCAACCUGCCCUUCAGAGGGGGACAACAGUUGGAAACGACUGCUAAUCCCGCAUACUGAAGGAGUGGAUUGCGUCUGAUUAGCUAGUUGGAGGGGUAACGGCCCACCAAGGCGAUGAUCAGUAGCCGGUCGGAGAGGAUGAACGGCCACAGUGGGACUGAGACACGGCCCAGACUCCGACGGGAGGCAGCAGUGGGGAAUCUGCCGAAAUGGACGAAAGUCUGACGGAGCAACGCCGCGGGAGUGAUGACGGCCUUCGGGGUGUAAAGCUCUGUUAAUCGGGACGCGGUACCGGAAUAGAAAGCCACGGCUAACUACGUGCCAGCAGCCGCGGUAAUUC
rnacentral:rRNA from 1 species